UUUAUCUCAGCCAAGGAGGUUAUGUUUUCGGUAGCGUUGGUUUGUUUGUUUGUUUGUCUGUUAGCAACUUUACAGAGAAAGUAACAGACGGAUUGACCUGAAAUUUUCACCAGAGGUGCGUCUCAGCCCCAGGAGGAUCCCAUUACAUUUUGGUGGUGAUCCGGAUCGCCUUCUGGAUCCAGGAAUUUUCUGAAGGAUUCUUUAUCAUUGUGAGAUAGGGCAAAUGUUGGAAUUUUUGCAUUUAACUCUAAAAUUACACAAAAGGAUCUGAAUAAGUUUUAUGAGGUGUCAAAGGUUGAUCCUGAUCCGGACAAAAUUCUGGAUACUGUGAUCCAGAACACACAAAAAUAAGGGUGUCGUUGGAAUUUUCAAUGCUGAAAGAUAACCAAUGGGCGGCACAGUGGUGUAGAUAGGCGGUACAGUGGUGUAGUGGUUAGCACUGUCGCCUCACAGCAAGAAGGUCCUGGGUUCGAAUCCGGGUCAGGGCAUUUCUUGUUUUAGGAACAUUAUGAACAGUGAACAUACCAGUUUAAACACAAAUAAAGUUAAUAAAAGACACGUAACAGUAAAAGUUUUGGUGUGAAUCACAAUAAAAAGGGGGGACAUGAGCUGCUUGGCGGAG